rnacentral:rRNA from 1 species
AUCAACUUUCGAUGGUAGGAUAGAGGCCUACCAUGGUGGUAACGGGUAACGGGGUGUUAGGGCACGACACCGGAGAGGGAGCCUGAGAAACGGCUACCACAUCCAAGGAUGGCAGCAGGCGCGCAAAUUACCCAAUCCCGACACGGGGAGGUAGUGACAAUAAAUAACAAUACGGGGUUCUUUCGGAUCUCGUAAUUGGAAUGAGUACAAUUUAAAUCUCUUAACGAGGAACAAUUGGAGGGCAAGUCUGGUGCCAGCAGCCGCGGUAAUUCCAGCUCCAAUAGCGUAUAUUAAAGUUGUUGCAGUUAAAAAGCUCGUAGUUGAAUUUCGGGACCAAUAUGUCGGUCGUGCUUCGGUACGUACUUGCAUUAUUGGUUUCUCCCUUCUGAAGAACCAUGAUGUCAUUAAUUUGGUGUCUUGGGGAAUCAGGACUGUUACUUUGAAAAAAUUAGAGUGUUUAAAGCAGGCUCACGCUUGAAUACAUUAGCAUGGAAUAAUGAAAUAGGACGUUUGAUUCUAUUUUGUUGGUUUCUAGGAUCGACGUAAUGAUUAAUAGGGAUAGUUGGGGGCAUUAGUAUUCAAUUGUCAGAGGUGAAAUUCUUGGAUUUAUUGAAGACUAACUACUGCGAAAGCAUUUGCCAAGGAUGUUUUCAUUAAUCAAGAACGAAAGUUAGGGGAUCGAAGACGAUCAGAUACCGUCGUAGUCUUAACCAUAAACUAUGCCGACUAGGGAUCGGAUGAUGUUAAUUUUUUAAUGACUCAUUCGGCGCCUUACGGGAAACCAAAGUGUUUGGGUUC